rnacentral:rRNA from 1 species
CAAGCGUUGUCCGGAAUCAUUGGGCGUAAAGAGCGUGUAGGCGGCUAGGUAAGUCCGCUGUGAAAGUCCAGGGCUCAACCCUGGAAUGCCGGUGGAAACUGUCGAGCUAGAGUCCGGAAGAGGCGAGUGGAAUUCCUGGUGUAGCGGUGAAAUGCGCAGAUAUCAGGAGGAACACCAAUGGCGAAGGCAGCUCGCUGGGACGGUACUGACGCUGAGACGCGAAAGCGUGGGGAGCAAACAGG